AAUAUCAUGCAAAAGUUCAUUUAUUUCAGUAAUGCAACUUAAAAGGUGAAAUUAAUAUAUGAGAUAGACUCAUUACAUGCAAAGCAUGAUAGUUCAAGCUGUGAUGUGUCAUAAUUUAGAUGAUUAUGGCUCACAGCUCACGAAAACCCCAUAUCCACAAUCUCAGAAAAUUAGAAUAUUACAUGCAAUCAUUAA